rnacentral:rRNA from 1 species
AGCCUGAUCCAGCCAUGCCGCGUGCGUGAAGAAGGCCUUCGGGUUGUAAACCGCUUUUGUCAGGGAAGAAACGGUUCUGGCUAAUACCUGGGGCUAAUGACGGUACCUGAAGAAUAAGCACCGGCUAACUACGUGCCAGCAGCCGCGGUAAUACGUAGGGUGCAAGCGUUAAUCGGAAUUACUGGGCGUAAAGCGUGCGCAGGCGGUUAUAUAAGACAGAUGUGAAAUCCCCGGGCUCAACCUGGGAACUGCAUUAGUGACUGUAUAGCUAGAGUGCGGCAGAGGGGGAUGGAAUUCCGCGUGUAGCAGUGAAAUGCGUAGAUAUGCGGAGGAACACCGAUGGCGAAGGCAAUCCCCUGGGCCUGCACUGACGCUCAUGCACGAAAGCGUGGGGAGCAAACAGGAUUAGAUACCCUGGUAGUCCACGCCCUAAACGAUGUCAACUGGUUGUUGGGAAUUUACUUUCUCAGUAACGAAGCUAACGCGUGAAGUUGACCGCCUGGGGAGUACGGCCGCAAGGUUAAAACUCAAAGGAAUUGACGGGGACCCGCACAAGCGGUGGAUGAUGUGGUUUAAUUCGAUGCAACGCGAAAAACCUUACCCACCUUUGACAUGUAUGGAAGAUCGCAGAGACGCGAUUGUGCUCGAAAGAGAGCCAUAACACAGGUGCUGCAUGGCUGUCGUCAGCUCGUGUCGUGAGAUGUUGGGUUAAGUCCCGCAACGAGCGCAACCCUUGUCAUUAGUUGCUACAUUUAGUUGGGCACUCUAAUGAGACUGCCGGUGACAAACCGGAGGAAGGUGGGGAUGACGUCAAGUCCUCAUGGCCCUUAUAGGUGGGGCUACACACGUCAUACAAUGGCUGGUACAAAGGGUUGCCAACCCGCGAGGGGGAGCAAAUCCCAUAAAGCCAGUCGUAGUCCGGAUCGCAGUCUGCAACUCGACUGCGUGAAGUCGGAAUCGCUAGUAAUCGUGGAUCAGAAUGUCACGGUGAAUACGUUCCCGGGUCUUGUACACACCGCCCGUCACACCAUGGGAGCGGGUUCUGCCAGAAGUAGGUAGCCUAACCGUAAGGAGGGCGCUUACCACGGCAGGGUUCGUGACUGGGGUGAAGUCGUAACAAGGUAGCCGUAUCGGAAGGUGCGGCUG